UGCUUUGCUCAUUAUCUGAACUUUGUUGAAGAGUGGAUCGCUAUGUGUUUCAUCCACAAUAUGGUGCAAGCCCCAGAUCUUUUCCUUUUCAGACUUACCAGCCUUUCCAUGACUCCUCGUACAUGACUUUUUCCAUUCCUGGAAGCAGUGUUUCUCUACUCCAGUUAAUUUGGUGUGAACUUACUUUGUUCAUGUGGACUUUACAUAUCAGAUACUGGAUACACAUCGCAAUAGCAGGACCCUGUAAAUACUGUCUUCUGGAUUUUCACCACAGCAUGAUGGGUUCCCAGUUUCAUAAACUGUAUAACUCAUGUGUAUAAACUUCCCUAAUUACUAAUACCUGGCUCUGUUUUAAUUCUGCUUCCAUAUCUUCUUGACUUCUCUGCAGCUAUAACAGUAAGUCUCAUGUCUCAUUGCUCAAUUAGUUGCUGUUGUUAGCUUAAUAAGUGAAAGGCUUUCUGGUGUCAUUGACCUGAUUUUUAGGAUUGCAAAAGGCUGUAUACAUCAUUUGUAUUUAUUGCCAAAUAAACCUUUGUAAGUGUA